CCUACGGCGGCAGCAGUGAGGAAUACUGGUCAAUGGGCGCGAGCCUGAACCAGCCAAGUAGCGUGAAGGAUGACUGCCCUACGGGUUGUAAACUUCUUUUAUAAAGGAAUAAAAUGAGGCACGUGUGCCUUUUUGUAUGUACUUUAUGAAUAAGGAUCGGCUAACUCCGUGCCAGCAGCCGCGGUAAUACGGAGGAUCCGAGCGUUAUCCGGAUUUAUUGGGUUUAAAGGGAGCGUAGAUGGGUUGUUAAGUCAGUUGUGAAAGCUUGCGGCUCAACCGUAAAAUUGCAAUUGAUACUUGCAGGCUUGAGUACAGAUGAGGUAGGAGGAAUGCGUGGUGUAGCGGUGAAAUGCUUAGAUAUCACGAAGAACACCGAUUGCGAAGGCAGCUUACUAAACUGCCACUGACAUUGAUGCUCGAAAGUGUGGGUAUCAAACAGGAUUAGAUACCCGGGUAGUC
rnacentral:rRNA from 1 species